GUAGGGAAUCUUGCGCAAUGGGCGAAAGCCUGACGCAGCCAUGCCGCGUGAAUGAUGAAGGUCUUAGGAUUGUAAAAUUCUUUCACCGGGGACGAUAAUGACGGUACCCGGAGAAGAAGCCCCGGCUAACUUCGUGCCAGCAGCCGCGGUAAUACGAAGGGGGCUAGCGUUGCUCGGAAUUACUGGGCGUAAAGGGAGCGUAGGCGGAUAGUUUAGUCAGAGGUGAAAGCCCAGGGCUCAACCUUGGAAUUGCCUUUGAUACUGGCUAUCUUGAGUAUGGAAGAGGUAUGUGGAACUCCGAGUGUAGAGGUGAAAUUCGUAGAUAUUCGGAAGAACACCAGUGGCGAAGGCGACAUACUGGUCCAUUACUGACGCUGAGGCUCGAAAGCGUGGGGAGCAAACAGGAUUAGAUACCCCUGUAGUCC
rnacentral:rRNA from 1 species